CGCAGUCGUGUUACUCUCAGUUCUACAUGGAGAAAUCAUUCAUCUUACUGAUUGUCACCAUCACCACAGGACUGAGUGCUGGUGAUGAUAUCAGACCUGAAAAGGAUCACCAGUCCGGUAAAGAAGGAGAAUCAGUGACACUGAGCUGUAAAUACAGUACUAACAGUGAAGAUGUUUAUCUCUACUGGUACAGACAGAACCCGAACCAGGCUCCUCAGUACCUCCUCUACAAGGGGGCCCGAUCAUACAGUAGUGUGGAACACAGUACAAAUAAGAGAUUCAAAUGUACUACAUCCAGGGACUCAACCCAGCUCACCAUCGAAGCUCUUACCAUGUCAGACACAGCCAUCUACUACUGUGCUCUGAGGGUGGCACAGGGAGCAAAAGUCACUGAGAAGCUCUACAAAAACUCUUUUGCCCAGAACUUCCUCUCAGCAACUAUGAAAUGCAGCUUCCUUCCCACAAAACUCCAGGACACUGGCACACUCUUACAGUAG